AUAAAACUAAACACGUCGUUAACUAAAAGACCACACAGAAAGUCGAUCAUUCUAUUAAGCACAGUCAUUAGGAUAAGACAGGUAAAUCUUUAUUUAGCUUUAGACAUGGAUCUGCUUAGUGCAAGGUCGUACGCAAUGAUAAUUCUUUUGGUAACGCACGCUCAUGCUGGACAAACUGAAGAGAAACAGCUGGAACUUCUAAGUGAAAACUACGUCAAAAUGCAAGAAAUGUUUAAAGAGCAAGCCACCCAAUUGGAAGAGCUGAAGAUUAAGAGUUCAACAACACGAGUCGGUUAUUAAUUCCAUGCAGAGAGACAAGUCGAUUGAAAUGGACUACAAGUCAGCCGGAAUUAUCAAUGCUACCCUUAGGCAAGGGACAUCAAGAAUUCCGCGAUCCUGUGCGGAUUUGAAAAAUAUAAUAAGAGAGACAAAACACAAUCAAUGUAAACUGCAAUACAAUUUGAGAAAGAAACAGAAAA